rnacentral:rRNA from 1 species
CAGCCAUGCCGCGUGUGUGAAGAGGACUCGGGUGUAAAGCACUUCAUAGGGAGGAAGGUAGUGUAGUUAACACCUGCACUAUUGACGUUACCUACAGAAGAAGCACCGGCUAACUCCGUGCCAGCAGCCGCGGUAAUACGGAGGGUGCGAGCGUUAAUCGGAAUUACUGGGCGUAAAGCGCAUGCAGGCGGCCUGUUAAGUCAGAUGUGAAAGCCCGGGGCUUAACCUCGGAAUUGCAUUUGAAACUGGCAGGCUAGAGUCUUGUAGAGGGGGUAGAAUUUCAGGUGUAGCGGUGAAAAUGCGUAGAGAUCUGAAGGAAUACCAGUGGCGAAGGCGGCCCCCUGGACAAAGACUGACGCUCAGAUGCGAAAGCGUGGGGAGCAAACAGGAUUAGAUACCCUGGUAG